rnacentral:rRNA from 1 species
GUGGGGAAUCUUCCGCAAUGGACGAAAGUCUGACGGAGCAACGCCGCGUGAGUGAAGAAGGUUUUCGGAUCGUAAAGCUCUUUCGUUAGGGACGAACGUGCUCUUUGUGAAUAAUGAGGAGUAAUGACGGUACCUAAAUAAGAAGCCACGGCUAACUACGUGCCAGCAGCCGCGGUAAUACGUAGGUGGCAAGCGUUAUCCGGAAUUAUUGGGCGUAAAGCGCGCGCAGGCGGGAUAUCAAGUCUGUCUUAAAAGUGCGAGGCUCAACCUCGUGAGGGGACAGAAACUGGUAUUCUUGAGUGUCGGAGAGGAAAGUGGAAUUCCAAGUGUAGCGGUGAAAUGCGUAGAGAUUUGGAAGAACACCAGUGGCGAAGGCGACUUUCUGGACGAUGUCUGACGCUGAGGCGCGAAAGCUAGGGGAGCGAACGGGAUUAGAUACCCGUGUAGUCC